rnacentral:rRNA from 1 species
GGUUAAGCGACUAAGCGUACACGGUGGAUGCCUAGGCAGUCAGAGGCGAUGAAGGGCGUGCUAAUCUGCGAAAAGCGUCGGUAAGGUGAUAUGAACCGUUAUAACCGACGAUACCCGAAUGGGGAAACCCAGUGCAAUUCGUUGCACUAUUGCAUGGUGAAUACAUAGCCAUGCAAGGCGAACCGGGGGAACUGAAACAUCUAAGUACCCCGAGGAAAAGAAAUCAACCGAGAUUCCCCCAGUAGCGGCGAGCGAACGGGGAGGAGCCCAGAACCUGAAUCAGCGUAUGUGUUAGUGGAAGCGUCUGGAAAGUCGCACGGUACAGGGUGAUAGUCCCGUACACAAAAAUGCAUAUGUUGUGAGUUCGAUGAGUAGGGCGGGACACGUGACAUCCUGUCUGAAUAUGGGGGGACCAUCCUCCAAGGCUAAAUACUCCUGACUGACCGAUAGUGAACCAGUACCGUGAGGGAAAGGCGAAAAGAACCCCGGCGAGGGGAGUGAAACAGAACCUGAAACCGUGUACGUACAAGCAGUGGGAGCACCUUCGUGGUGUGACUGCGUACCUUUUGUAUAAUGGGUCAGCGACUUAUAUUUUGUAGCAAGGUUAACCGAAUAGGGGAGCCGUAGGGAAACCGAGUCUUAACUGGGCGAAUAGUUGCAAGGUAUAGACCCGAAACCCGGUGAUCUAGCCAUGGGCAGGUUGAAGGUUGGGUAACACUAACUGGAGGACCGAACCGACUAAUGUUGAAAAAUUAGCGGAUGACUUGUGGCUGGGGGUGAAAGGCCAAUCAAACCGGGAGAUAGCUGGUUCUCCCCGAAAGCUAUUUAGGUAGCGCCUCGUGAACUCAUCUUCGGGGGUAGAGCACUGUUUCGGCUAGGGGGUCAUCCCGACUUACCAAACCGAUGCAAACUCCGAAUACCGAAGAAUGUUAUCACGGGAGACACACGGCGGGUGCUAACGUCCGUCGUGAAGAGGGAAACAACCCAGACCGCCAGCUAAGGUCCCAAAGUCAUGGUUAAGUGGGAAACGAUGUGGGAAGGCACAGACAGCCAGGAUGUUGGCUUAGAAGCAGCCAUCAUUUAAAGAAAGCGUAAUAGCUCACUGGUCGAGUCGGCCUGCGCGGAAGAUGUAACGGGGCUAAACCAUGCACCGAAGCUGC